rnacentral:rRNA from 1 species
AAUCCCUUGCUCAACCAAGGAAGGGCAUUUGAAACUGUCUGGCUUGAGUACGGGAGGGGGAAGUGGAAUUCCCGGUGUAGAGGUGAAAUUCGUAGAUAUCGGGAGGAACACCGGUGGCGAAGGCGGCUUCCUGGACCGAUACUGACGCUGAGACGCGAAAGCGUGGGGAGCAAACAGGAUUAGAUACCCUGGUAGUCCACGCCGUAAACGUUGGGCACUAGGUGUUGUGGGUAUUGACCCCUGCAGUGCCAAGGGCGAAUUCCAAA